GCCCUCAUAUACACAAGAAAAUGCCAACCAGAAUUACUGUGCAAGUAAAAUAGCAUCCUGCAAUAUGAUAUUUUUUGUGUUCGCUCAAAAUAAAUCUCUUUAAAAUCAUACAAUGGAAAACUGAGCAAACACCAUUAUUUUUCUAUUUCACUUUUUUACUAUUUAAAACUAAGUUUUUUCAGAAAAUAUGCUCUUUGGUAGAAAUUCAAACCCAUAUAAAACUUCUGACAAAUUCUAGUAACUACUUAAUACGAAAAUAACUGGCUCAAAAAUGUCUCCUAGAGAAAUCUGUGCUCAUCAGAGUGGACUGUAGUGUUAACCAAAAUAUGACUGUAAAGUCAUAUUAGUGUUAACCAAAAUAUGACUGUAAAGUCAUAUUAGUGUUAACCAAAAUAUGACUGGAAGUGUUUUCAGUCACAGUUGUUAUUUUAAUCUAGCUAAAGAUGAUCCUCAAAGAUAGGAUCAGGGUUAUGACUGUCCAGAAAUUGGCUAUACUUCAGUGAAUAGCCACUGGUUCUUUUGUUCUUUUAAAACUAUACUGUCAGAACCCAGGACAUCCCUCUGGGUGCCCUGGACGGCCUGAGCAGCUGGCAGGGGGCUCUGAGACCCUGGCAUGCACCCAAAGACACGUGGGGUUUUGAUCUUAGCCCGUGGAGCAAAUUACCAACUCUGUAUGAAGAAUUACAAGCCACACAAUUUUAGGUAGCAUAGUAGAGAUAAUCACAAAGUGAAGGAGUUUUUGAGUCCUGUACAGGGGGAUUUUAGGCCUUGUAUACAGGGGGUUUGAGUUUUGUACAUGGGGGUCAGGAGUUCUAAGAUGGAGGGAUUUGGGUGUGCCCUGUCCUCCUUCUUUCUCCUUCCUAACCUCCAUGUCUUUGGUGAUGUUGGCACUCACAGAUUGGUUUAGAGUAGAAAACCAUCAUUCAAUAUAGGUAAUAGGCAUUGGGGAAAUCCAUAAACAUUUGAUAUGUAAUGUAUGAUAUAAAAGAUGGCACCAGCCCCCUGGGAGGGCAGUGUGCCUUUGUCUGACCUGCUGAAUGGACCGCAGCAGCUCAGGAAGAAAAUAUUUUAGAUAACAUUCAAUAAACAACCUUGAGAGCGGACAACUGAAGACUAUUGAGUCUUUCUUUGAAGGCACGGGUUGGAGCAGAGACUUUUCCACCUUUCGGGGUCACCCUGACCUGGGGGAGACUCUGACACUAUACAGGACAUUUAGACACCAGAAUAAGGAUUUCAUACUGCACAAGAACUUUCUCUCUCAUAGGAAAACCACUGGAGCUCGUGAAUUUUGCUGUGCAAAUGGAUAAAUACCGACAGAAUACAUGUGGCAGGUAUAUCAUUAAACACCCCACCCGUGGAUCCAUGACUGCAAAAAACCUGCAGAAUUUCAAAGACCCUGGUACAAACAUGUUAGGUGUCGAGGGCAGCCUUAAUCCCAAAGUACAGAGAGGGACAAUUAGACAAUGGGAGUUGGGGUAGAUGACCUUCCAAACCAAGCUGUUCUGUGAUUCUAUGACCCAAGAGGAGAGAACUCAGCUGAGCAGAGCUUGCUCAGGGCAGCCCCAGUGAGGUGAUUUCAUUGCUGGCAGUUGUAAAUAUGAAGGUGGACUCUUUGCUUUGCAGGCCAGGGUGUUGGUACAGCCCCAUUGCACACACCAACAGACUAAAGUGUCUUAAGCGGCUUAAAUAGCUUUAAGCAGCUUUGAAGGCUUAGAUACUGUAAGCUUAUAAAGCAAUUUAAGCUGCUUAAACCACUCUAGGACUUUAACAAGGGUCCCACAAUGCCGCUCCUCGCCCGGUGAGUGAAACAAAGCUGGCUGCAGCUCCCCCACCAUGGGCUGGAAGGAUGGAGCUGCAGGGCUGCCACAGAUCCAGCAAGGAAUCUGCUGAUAUUGACAUACUUUGUCAAUGAUGUUGUAUGAAAUAAUGCAUCAUAUACUUUCUCCCCUUGGUUAACUCAUUGUUAUUUUCUUUUCUCUUAACUACCUCACUUCCCCAGCCACUGCUGUGUCUUUUUUUCCUAUUUUCACCAAUUUAGCUCAGGUUCUUUCAGUAUCUCUUUUCUGUCUAAUUAAUUCUUCCUAAGAGAUCAGUGGGCUUUUCUUACUGCAGUGAUACCUUUUAUGAAGAAAACACGUCUCAAUUCAGCCUAUUCAAUUCACUGAGCAUGCUGUGGUUAAGUGUUCACUUGUAUCAGGAUGAUUUAACCUAAAUCUAGAACUUUUUUCCUCACAAGAAGGGCAUGAGUUGAUAGAAGCAUUGUGGAAAAACCCAACCAUGUAAUCCCAGGAAGCAGCAGUGGCAGUCAUUAAGUUAUCACCUACAAAAUCAGGAAACCAGAUGGGAGAGCUUUGUUCAGAAGAAGGAAUACAAUGCACUGAAUCUGUGUCACAGUUUCUGGCGUUUUGGAGAUUUCAUAAAGGAUGUAGGAGGAGGAAGUCUGGGAACAGCUGUCCAGAAAAAUGGGUAAAUUUAUGUUCCUGCACUGAAUCUCUUAGGGCUGAAAGGGCUUUGUUUUCAGUUUUUACUCGAUAUGUCUGAAUUUGGGGUGUGCUGUGCAAACCACAAGUCAAAUUGUUCCUACCAAAGGAUGUAACACCCCCUCCCUCUUACACAGAAGACAGCAGCUGGGUGUAGGUUUUGUUUGGUUUAGUGACAAUUCACUUUGAGCUCCCAUGCUAAUAACCAGGGCAGUGGUGAUAAUACACUGGAGCACUUGAGUCAGAUGUGAUAUCCUUGCUGCAGAGGAUCAUUUCAGGCCUGCAUCACCCCAUUUUUCUUGUGUUUGAAUUCCCUUUCCAGUUCCUUUACAAGGAACAUUCUCCUCUUCCUUUUCCUAUCCUUCACCCAUUUCCUGGGGCUGUAUCCUAAUUUCUCAGGUGUUCUCUCUCUCCUCAACUUCACUGGGCCCAUAUUUUUCACAGGUUUAUGGAGUCCCAUCACAUGUGCCUUUGUAUAUAUCACACACUUCAAUCACAAUUUAGCUAAGAAAUCGAACUAUAAAUCUUAUCAUAGUCAAACAAUGUUUUUGAAAGACUUGAGAAUGUAAGCAGGAAGAGGGAUAAUGGUCAGCCCUACUUACUGAUCUAUUUUUUGCUGAUUAUCUAUGCUAUGCAUUCCUAAAUGACGUUACCUACCACCAUUGUGUGUAUUGAACACACACCAUGUGGAAUGUGACAUAAUUAUAUAAGCAUCAUUUAACACUUUCAUUAGGGCUUGAUUUAUACCAAAGGUUAUUUUUUCCAGUAUCCUGAAAGCAUGUUUGUCUCAAUUUUUAUUGAAGAAAAUGAUUUGUAGCAUGAUCUAUUUUUUUCAAGUCAUUAUUGCAUUUUAAUCUCUUCUUCCAUUUAGCCACCUAUCAAUAAUUACUUCCUUCAAAAUGUGUUCGAAACCCCCACAUGUGAUGUCAAUAGGAUUCACUAGCUUGCUUUUUUUUUUUUGUUCUUCUUCUUUCCUGCUUCAGUGGCUAGCUUCUUCAGCUAAUGGAUGACACAGAAUAUUGCCUUGAAUCUAUUAUAUACCUGUGAGCACCAAAUUCCUAAAUUGCAAGACCAGCCAAAUUCUUUGCUCUACUGGAAGUCAUCUUAAGAGGUAAAUAGAGUUUAAGAUUUGAGGAAGAAAGCCAGAGCUCCCACUCUACCAAUAUUAAUUUCAUGCAUUCCCACCUGCAUUCUUCAUUCUGUAAUUGGGCUGUGCUUCCAUCUCCACCCACAUCCUGCCUUGACACAUAUCCACGUGUGGAUGACAGGGGCAGUGACAGGUGAGCCAGCCAGCUUGUAGGCUGAGUCAUUCCAGGAAGGCAGACUGUCAUCUGGCAACUAGGAUGGAGAAGAAGGAAGUGUGCCAACCAAAGAGGUGGUCUGAGCAAUGCAUGGCACCCCACAUGCCAAAACAGAGGUUGCACAAUGUUGGCUAUGACAGAGAAAUGUGGAGAAGAACACAAGAAUGCACUUCCAAAAUGGCCUUCAUAGUAGGAAUUAGGAAAUACCAAAACUCAGCCUAUUUGUUUUCAUGGAUCACUUUCAUAACAAAGAUGAACAUAGCAAUCAAGAAAUAGAGCAAUGGUGUAGUGUAACCCUCUCAGCAUUUUUGUUCACUUUUAUAUGGGUGUCUUUUCCUCUGCAUGGAGGCUCAAAAGCAGGAUCACAAACACAAUUUAUGAGUACGGAGCAAUUAUGCUAUUUGUUGGAUUGUACACACAAUAAAUGGCUGUGAGUAAUGAGCUAUUAGCCUAAGCAUUAAUACCCUCACCACCUUUGGUGCAGGUAACCACUGGAUUUCUGCUGGUCAGGCAGAUGGCAAUCACAUGGGGAAGUGCCAGACUCCAUUGCUCCUUGCAAUAGGAUGAUCCUUGGUUUUGCUGAGUUGCUAUAUUCUAUUUUUUUUUCUCAGAGUUUUAGAGUUAUUUCAGUUGUUAUUUUUUCCAUGAGUCCGCAAGCGAUUGCUGCCAACUCAACAAUUUCACUUCUGUUCUUGUUUCAGCCUUUUUUUAUAUAUCUUGCUUGGCUUAAGUGCUUGUAUUGUCACUUAUAGGUUAGCAACCUUUUUUUAAUCAAGCAGACUUGGGGCCACAUAGCCUACCUAGGCCUUGUGUUAAAAUAGUUUGAGUGUGAAAGAUCUACCAAUAUGGUGGGAGACAGACUGAUCUGUAUUUGUUGUUUGAUGUAUUUUUAAGCACCUUGCUGGCUUAAACAUGUGGGUCUUGCCAGAUGGCAAAAAGACUCAGAAAUAGAUACUGACACAAACACCCUGAAAGGUCAGAUGUUCUAUAUGACUGCUGGUAUCAGUGAUGGUCUUUGUAAUGCCAAGCAGAAAAGUCUGGGAGGGAUGGGCAGAACGAAUCAGGUAAGCCCAAAAAGGGUGCAUCAUAAAGAAAACAAAAUCUCUGAAAUAAAAAUUCUAUAGCGCUCUGCAGUGAUUGAAGGGACACAGACCAUCUGUGCAAGCAAAGCCAGUUUAUUACACUAAUCACCAGUAUUUAUAGUUCUCUAAUGUCCAUGCAAAACAUUCCACUAGGACCCCUUUGCCUCUGUUCCCUUAGCAACACAAUCUUUUCAGUGAUCAAGUCCCUGUUACAUUCUUUUUUUGCCAGCAAUGUCCUUGUUACACCUUCUCUCGUCAGAGGGGUCAGAGUGACCAGGCAUGAUAUGUUCACUUUUGUUCUUGCCUUGAGUUUAUCUCUCCCAUGGCUUCCACUGUACCAGGGCCAGGAGGUCUGUGGUGCUACCCAGCUCAGCUUCUGUAUGUAGCUGUCUGAUCUUCCACAUUGCCGAGACAACAAAAAGUGUGCAAUUACAGGAAGGAAUGUGAGAGUAAACAAAUCAGUGACAAAUAAUGUCCUUUGAAAAGAUGUAAAGAGAUGUAUCAAAUACCUAAAACUUGAAAUUGAAACUCCUGCCCUGGUAGGAAACCACAGAUCCUGUUUACCAAGUUACAAAAAUCCUGUGUGGGUAGUUUAAACAGGAAGUGGGCUGAUCAAAAGCAAAGAUAGGGAAAUACGUACAACAGAUAUAAUAUGGAUCAGCAGAGCAUUUUAAAGAAGUCAGCAGCAGAAAGUUAGCCCUACUUUGACAUGAGAUUCUGUAACAUGAGAUGAUGUCAAUCUCUUUAAAAAGAGAUUGCCGUUGGUGCGGUGAUGACAUCAGAAAAGCAAGUUGUAGCCCAGUAGGUAGCAGCAAAAAUGCAUUGAAAGACAUUUUGGUUGUAAUAGAAAUGCUAAGAGACCAUUAUGUCACUGCAGAAGUAAAAUUUAAAAAGUUGUUGAAAAAAAGCUAGGAAAAAAUGCCACAUUUUUACAAGAGAAAACAUGGAGUUGUUAAAAUAUUAAAAUGUGAGACUGGGAAAGUGUCUCUCUGCCCUGUGCUAUAGGGGAGGUCAUUUGCAGUGGAAUACUGUGCAAGAUGACACAGAAUUAGAGGAGAGCACCCUCUGGACUCAGGCCCAGAAAACCAGAUAUUCAUGCAAAGGAGUGUCCUGAAAGAACACAUGCAAUGGCAUGCUUUGCUCAUCACCAGCUUCAUUGAUUAUUUUUUCAGGUUUCUUGACAUGGGCCUCAGGAGUGCCUUGUGGAACUUCAGCACUCAGCUCUUACUCUGUCAUCACAGUCUUGCAGAGAGGGGUGGAUGGCUGCAUCUGGGAGUCCAUCUAAGUAAGAGGCUGGUUCACUUUGAACACUGGUGUGAAGCAAGGCUACACUUGCUUUCUAGGGCUGCUUAGCAUUAUCACACCUAGCUACUGUGUAGGCAACACAAGCAGCAGCAUUCCAUGGAUAUGUGCAGAUUGCACGUAUCUUGGAAGCAUAAAUUGUGCUAGUAGCACUGUGUUAUUGAGCCAUAGACCUGAAAAAAUGGUGAAAAUACAUAACUUAGCAAAAUAAGUAAGCCAGACAGGAUUCAAAAUCAGUUAUCAAAGCAAACAUCCCUGAAAGCUUAAUACCAAGCAUCAAAGUCAUGCUAGAAAACACAAAUUCUGGGAAAGCAGAGCUUGCCAGUCCUGUCCAUAUCCCACUUCUGACUAAUUAGGAAAGAACUGACAGUAAAAAUAGGAAAGUCUUCCACCACUCAUUUCAGCAUAUGGAAAUUCAAGAUACUCAGUUCCAGAUGAAAAAAAAAACUUUUUAGAAUUAUUAUUUACAUGUAAUGACAAUGCUAAAAUAGAUCCUGGAAAACAGAGAUAUCAAAGAUGCUAGGAAAACUAGAUGCCUUGAGAAAAAGAAAGUGCCUAUGAAAAAGUCUGAAUGUUGGUCUCUGUCUCAGCACAGAGUUGAACUGCCCACCACCACUUCUCCUUCCACCACAGUCAGCAGGGAGCACAGGAUGUAAUUGUUGUGCAUCCUCUGAAUGGCAGCUCCCAAGAAUUCCCCCAGAGAUGAUCCAGUGUGUGUGAAGAAGACUCACCUGACAGGAAUGAUGGUGAUCGAUCCCAACUGUUGCGCUGGAAACAAGAAGGAAUGACACAGAAAAAAAAUGAAAACAAGCUGGAAAGAGAUGAAUUUUAUCCUGGUUCCUCGUUCUCCUCAGCAGAUGAACAACUGCAGCAUCAGCACAGAUUUCUGCUACUUGAAUUAAUGGAGUGCCGUUGCCAGUCACAGGUUGUUAUCCUCUGAGUAAAGCCCUCCCAGAAGAGGAUUGCUGAUGGGCACUGGUGAGAAACAUGAUCUGAGGAUUUGCUUCUUGGCUGGGAUGGCAAUUGGAUAGAUGUAUAUUCCAGAUAGAAGGUAACCUACUGUAUCUCCUCCAGCCUCUCACCAUCCUUGUCCUUUUUCUUUCCCCACUUCAUCCCAGACCUCAUCUCCUACAGGAAGCCACAGUGGAUCCCAGCUCCUGAUCUCCCAAUCUGAUUAGCUCUUUGCUCACUCCCCAAUAAGACACUCUUUGCUUCCAAUCUACUUGGCUGGACUGCCCUAACUCCCCAAUUCCUUCUUAUGAUCCUAGUUCUCAUCUAGAAUAGGUUUGGUAUCCAGUAUCUCUGUCUGAGAAACUCUUCACAGUGCAUUUGAAUAACUCUGUUCUCUUGAUUUGAACAUCUGUGUUGCUGGGACCCAAGGAAGGCAGACCCAUGUUUUUCUUGUGUUGACUAAACUCUUACAGCUCAUGUUCAUCCAUAGCAAAUGGGACCUCUUAGGAAAGUGUUCUGUUGAAAUCAAAAUAAUCUCUAUUAAACAUGCACCAUGACUUUUCAUAUACCUGUCACUGGCACAAAAGCUGUCUUCUCUCAGCUUUUAAGUCCUUACACCAAACUUGCAAGAUGUAAGUUUUGUCACAGAAGACACCAGAAUUUUUAACCACAGCACAUUUUCCCCUACAGCCUGUCAGACACGUCAGAGAUGUCUGAUUUGUUUUACACUAGCUCCCCUUGAGAAUGUGUGUCAAGUAAAAAGUCCUGCAUGAUACCAUUUCAUAUUGUUUAGACAGGACAGCAGUAUUAAUGCAUUUAAUCUUAUAAAAAGCAUUCUAAUAUCUUUAGUGACCACUAUACAGACUUUUAUUCCUUAGAGAAGAUAAGGAAUGUCCUUGCAAACAAGAAAAAUUAGAUUCUGUUGUGCCAAGGCCUAUGCUCUAAGUAGUUCAAGGUGACCAGUGUACAGCUCUGACUGUUACAUAAAACAAUUUGCAAAGAUCAGUGAAAAUUAAACACAAAAUAACAGCUUCUUCAAGAAAACAAGACCCAGUGAAAAGCCCCAAGGACAAUGCUGAAGUCAUGUCCAGUAAAGAUAAAAAAAGUGAGACUAGACUCAGUAGUAGUCUAGCAGAGUAGUAGAGAGAAGACUCUCAGUCAGGUGUAAGAAGUAUGACACUGAUUAUGUGGGUGAUUAUGAUGAGAUUUAUUGCUAACACAGUAUCUAAAUGUUGCUAAUGCAUAUAUAAAUGUAUAGUAUAAGCAUGUCUGAAGGACUAUAACACAGGGUCAGCUGGAGACAUGUAGGUUUGCAGAAAGCACAAUUGCAAAGCAGCAAAGCACCCAUGGAGCUACAUUAGGAUUUUAUCUCCACGUGUUACCCACCUGUCCAAACCUGAGUGUUCCCAUCCUCGGGCUGGAUGUACCCUGCAGGUGUCCCUGCAGGGGUGGGAUCCACCUGGAAGCUGCCCUGCAGCCUCGGGAGGUCAGUUUGCCAUUUGGCCUGGGCUCCAGGAGCAUUUUGUACCCUUUUGCAGGCCCAUGUGUACCCAGAUCAAUCACAGCCAUCACCACUCCCCCGCCUCUGGAAUGCAUUAAUUAUGCAAGCAUCCAGACAGUUCCUCCUGCAAUUCCCACAUGGUAUUCUUAUCUUAGGACAGAUCAUAUUCCAAGACUGCAUGGAAGAGGGGGUUGGUGUGCGUGGAGGACACACUCCAAGACCCUACUAUUUUUUGUCACUCUCACGGGGCAAAAUUGAUAUGGUAGAGUAAACUUUGCUAAUGAACAAAAUCAUGAGUGGUGGGCUAUUCUGACUCCCUGGUGACCCGAAUCUUGAGCUGCAAGGAUGCUUACUUUGACCCAAACUGCAGAAAGAUAGGUAGGCAGCAGAUGCACAACAGCCUGGUUUGUACUUUUCCUUCCCUCCCCUGUUCUUUCCUUUUUCACCUGUGUUUCCCUUCAAUUUCUGUUUGAGAAAAAUCUGUUUGAGGUACUAAAGCUGUCUUUUGGAGAGCUGCUGUGAUGCUGUUAACAAACAUCCAAAAAGCUGUGUUAGAAACAGCAGGGCAUUGCUGCAAUUCCAUAUUUCCAUGUGACCAACAGACAAUAUGCUGUCCUGAAAUUCUCCAGCAAUGAAUUUGCCAUUCAGUGCCAACACCAGCGAGAGAGGCUGAGUUCCCUUUCCCUGCAGCUCUUGAGCUCUCUUUGUCCCUCUCCCAUACGGCACUGCCUCUCCAGGGAAGGACUGGGCUCUGUCAACAGCACCAGUAGAAUUUCCAGCCCAUCUCCGUGAACUGAAUAACUCUCUUUUCUUAAAUAGAAAACCAAAUACUUUGUCUUGCUUGCUAUAUCUAAGCCUGUUAAACAACAGUGCUUUUCUCACACAGACUUUAGACGGUGAAUGCAAAUUGGAGUUUUAAAAUGAAAGCCUGACUUUUCUGCAUUCUAAAUAUUUUUAUUCUUCUUUUUUCCCUUCCAUUUUUCUAUGUUUAACAAAGGGUUUAAAAGAUUUCCUGUGAUCCAUAUUGCCACAGCAAUAAACGAGCAUUUGAAACUCCAAACCCUAUCCAAAGCUUGUUUAGCAAUAUAGUUUUGUUCCAGUGACACAGGACCUUUAUUUCAUUUGACCCUCUGUGUCUGUUUGCUUUACUGAAAUUUGACUCAGCAAAGUUAAAUCCCCUUCUAUCAUUCUGCAAGACAACUCAUUUUAUGUUUGGAUACAAACCAAUUCACUGCCAAAGCUGCAUAAUCAACUCCCACCCUAACAUUCCAGUUACUACUCUAGGGCUGAAUGGAAGAAGAAAUGGUGAUGGUUGUACAGAAAUGCACCUAAUUUCUAUGGGAUGCUUAGUGAAUAUGAGAACAAUAGAUGGUGUAUUAACUACUAUGUUUACCAGCACUCUUUUUCCUUGGCAUAGUUUAUAUAUUUAUGUAAGGGCAGUCUACUGUCAUUUUAUUGUGCAAAAUUCUUGAAUGGAUACUAUGAAGUAAUCUUUUUUUUCCAAAUUUAUUUUUACUUGAUAUUUGUGAAACUGUUCUGUAAUGACAAGCUCUGGAGCAAAUUCUAAAAUACAGGGCAUCUUCUGUAUUUGAAAGAUUUCUCCAUAUGACUGCAAAUAAGAAAAUUAUGGAAAUAUCUAUUCUCUUUAUAUUCCAUAUUGUUCAAUCAACCUGAUUUUCUCUUCCCUCUUGCUAUACAAUCAUGUUCAGAUUUUAUUUUGUCUCUGGUUCAUUUUUAAUAUUUAUAUCUACUUAUUGUCAAAUAAAACAGAGCAAUCCGUUGUUUAAGGACGUGCUAGAACAAAUCAUUGCAGGAAAUUUGUAUUUAUUUCCAUGUUCAGGCUAUGGAAGCCUAGCCAGGGAUAGCUGUUUCCACUUAAAAAUGUUAAGUCCAUUGGAAAAGAAUUAGGGGUUGGUCAAAAAAGGAUUUUCCUCUCUCUCUCUCUUUUUUUUUUUUCCCUCCUACUCCCUUUUGUGUUAAACAUUAGAGUCCAUGAAAAGCAGCCUAUUACCAUAAGCUGUAAAGCAGUUCUUUCCCCGUUUCAGAGAAAUCUGCUUGAAAUGUGUGCAGCCUUUUUGAUCUCCAGGCUCCUAGUCUGGGCAAACAGAUGGAGUGUUCCCACCUGGGCUAUUAUUUUCUUUUCCUCUUCUCCCCUUCGAGCUAAGAAAUACUCCCUGUGCAACCCAAGAGGAAGGACUUUUAACCGGACACACAGCACUGGCCCUGGCUGAGCAGAUCACAGAAAGCUCCCAGUACUCUUCAGUCCCAGUGCAGCAGCUCUUAUGGACCCCGAAGCAUAGGUGCACACCUGCCUCAUUUCCCUGCACUGCCUGAUUGUAUUUCCAUCCUCUGCCAAGCUGGUGAUGGCCACAUGACCUGAAGAGGGAAAGAGUGAAAUACUGCUUUCACCAAGGUAUAUAUGAGAGGUAAAUGUUGGUUGCUUCGAAGUCUGAAUCACUCAAUUUUCAGUGGCUUGCAAUAUCACUUACACAGUUUCUUUUUUCCACUACCUUGUUAAAUGGAAGAAACUCUUCUCUUUUAUUUGAAACACUGGUUUUCUUCAGCUCCCUGUAUUUCCUCUACAAGUCCUUAGGCAUUUUUUUUUAAUAUAACUCUGUGCCUCAGCUACUGCACCUCACAGGUAACCAUAUAAGAGGAGUGUGGUAUAUCUGACAUGACUCCUGUGUGACUCUGAUCUGACACAGCCUAGAAUGCUAUUGGGAUGUGAUUGUUACAUAGCAGUCAGCACCAAGCUAGCACAACACUGGGGGGAAAUCUUAGAGGCUGCAACAAGAAUGCAGCAACAUUGGGAAGAAGGCAGUGAAGUGUGGCAAAAUGUGAGUAAAGGAAUGGAAAGACUGAAAUGGAAUAUUAACAGUAAAUGCACUCGGGGAAAAAAAUAUCAGAGGGUGAAGGCUCCUACUCUCUGCAGACUCUGGAAAUAGAUACUGACAAUAAUAAUAUAUAAUUUUUUUUCAUUUGUUAUACAAAAGAAUGUACAUAAGAAAAAUGAGGUAGGAAAAUGAAAGGAACAGAUUAACAAAUGCACCUGAAACUGUGAAAGGUAUUGGACUGGCAUCAUUCCAGUGGCAAGAGCAGGAAUCAUUAACUUGAGCUAUUUAGCAUUCAUAUCAGGGCAAAACUGUAGAAAACUACAGAAUGGAAAAAAAAUCUGCACUGGUCUAUUGGAUAACUAUAAAUAAUUUAAAGCAACUUCUAUCUUAUAUUUUACAAAUCAGUGGACAACUAAUUAUGCUGUUAUGUAGUUUUAUCACAGCUACUUCCUUUUAUCAGAAAAUGGUGGGGGGUAAUAAGCUAAUGUACAUUUCUUUUACCACUCCUAUUUUGGUUGUUCAAUUUUUUUCAAGGAAAAAAAAAGGGUUGUCAUGUUCAUUGUUUGAUACUGCUGCUAUUCAGAUCUGGUUUUACAUUAAUUCUUCUUGGUUUGUCACUCACCUGUGAUUAAUCAAGCAGAAACUAAGAAAUAAAAUUAUGUAUUUUGUAAAGGUGAACUAAGGUUUCAGUAACUGUGAAGCUGUGGGUAGGAACACUGUGACAGACUGUCAGGAACUCCAACUUGGUCUAGUUCUUGCUACAUUGGUGGAGUUAUGGUGAACCAUAUCUCCUGAGAAUCUGAAUUUUAAGUAUCCUUGCUAUGUUAUUCAUAAUGCAGUAUAAUCUCUGUAGGAAUAAUAACUUGGGAAAAUUUUGCUUUGGUCAAUAUCUGAAAUGAAAAUUGUGUCAUUAGCUGUGAGCUGUCUCCCAGGGCAAAAAUACACCCAGUUAUUACUUGAGACCGGGAAAAAAAUUUGCAAUAUUCUCCUUAUUUUAAUCUUUUACUAGAUGAUGAUAAUGGCAAAUUAGAAAUUACUUCCGAGUUCCAACUUCAUUUUAACAUUUAGGAUAUCUGUCUGCUGCACAUUUAAUAUUAUUUCCAAUUACAACAUGUGAGAUAUCUCAGUAUUUGAGGUCCCUCACAACAGGCCCAUGGGACAGGAAAAUGCAAUUUCUGUGCAAAUGCAAACAGAGCUAUAGACUAUUUUCCCCAGGGAAGCAUGUGACUGAUGCAUGUGUAUAUAUAUAAAAUAUAAAUAUGUCUGUUAUAUACAUGUGUGUGUGCAUAUCUAUAAACUAAAUCCAGUUGUGUUUAAGUCCAGAAUAUGCCUCUGAUGCAUGAACCAUAAUCCUUGAUCCUAUAUCCUGAAAUGUCAAAUGAUACCCUCAAAAAUAUAUUAAAAUUAAUUAUACUCUAGACAUAUUACUAAAAUAUUCCUUUGGGGUAUGACUUGUUUGAAUAGAAGUACAAGAAAUAAAUUAGGCAGCUAUUUACUUACAUACUGCCCACAGUUCUAUAGAUUUAUGAGGAAAACAAAUCUGAAGUGCUGCAUUGCACAACUUCGUAACGCUGCAGUUAGAUUUUCCCUUGUAUUUACAGGCUGGCUUAUUUUAUAAUCUAUUCAAGCACUGGAAAAUCAUAAAUAUGCAGCUCCACAGAUCUGGAGGUCAGGUUCCUGUGACUGUCAUACAUAUCUUUUGGCAAAGCUCUCCAAUUUAGGGUCAAAUUCUGCUUGCUUUUCUCACGUUUGAUUUAGGAUGGAAAUACACAUGAGUGAAGGAACAGGUUUUGUCAGAGUAUUGCAUGACUACACAGUGCUGACUGCUCCGAACAUGAGCAAAAAUAUGUACUAAGGCUGUAAGAGGGGCAGAAUAUGACAAUGUUUGGUAGAAAUAUUUCUAAGAGGUCUAUCAGCACCUACAUGAUUUCAUAGGAAAUCUAAUUAAAAUAUGCCUGAUAUAUGGCUAUUUAUCCCUCCUAACCAGAACUUCUGAAGGCUCAUAGUUGAAGCCUCAUUUUGACUCCUCUAUUAAUAUCAGAAAUUUCAAAUAAAACAAGUCAACAGAUGUAAAAGCUGGUAUCAGUCUUAACACCUUCAAUUUCUGAUCAUAAAUGCAAUUAAGAAUCACCCCUUUAUUUUAAAUCCAGAAGAGAGCAUGGCUGAGAAGCUGGAAAGUGGGCAUCAUGGUACCAUCAAUGCUCUGUAACUCUCUUGUGAUGGGGCACUGUAGAGCUGCCACUGGCAUAGUCAUUGAUUUUUGAAGAUUCUCUUUCUUGCAGCCAACCAAAGCAUGAUAACCCCCUCCCCGACCAAAAAACUGGAACACACAGCAGGCAUGACUGAACAUUUGAGCAGCUGAUGUGGCACCACUUCAUCCCUGGCACUGCUGCCAAAAGGGUUGUGUAUCACAUCAUAACCCCAGGAAGGAAUUUCUGAACAGCUGGAAAUUGCAUGUGGAAAAGCAAAGGCAAAAUGAACCUUAUCUAUCUCCCCCAGAUAUUACCCAAACAAAAAGAUUUUUAAAAAGGAAAUGCUCUUAGAUGUUCAGCAUUUGCCUAGAUCCAUAAAUGUCUUGAGGUAACCCAGAGCAAAAUCUGUGGGGUUUAGAUAUUAUCUAACCAAAGUUCUUAUAUAUAUAAUCUACUCCUUUUAAUUUCAUUAUACUACCCUAAGAAUUAAUACCAUAAAUAGUUCCAUUAUCAUGUAAUCCCCUAAGAAUUAAUACCAAAAAUAGUGAUGGCAGAAUGAACAAAUUGGAGAGAAGCUUGGGAUAUCUUAUCCCUUAUGUCUUGGGGCUGAAAUGAGUCAUAUUGCCAUGUCUCCUAUGGCAAAGAAGACUUUCAUGGCUGAGAGGCCAGGUUAGAGCCUUGACAUUUCUGUGCAGCAAUCUUGAGGUCUGUUCAGACACAGAUGGUUGAAGGGCUCAGAAGGUGUUAUUCCAAGUAACACAGUCCUCUCUCUAUCCACUGUGGCUUUUAACCAGGACUGUGACUUGUUUAUCCUCUAUUUUGUUGUCCUGCCCUCUAUUCAGGGCUCUUCAGAGAAGUUGCAUAAUGAAACAGAAGAGUUGGUUUGGCUCCAGCUGGUCCUGGUGCCUGUUGUCCAAUGUGAGUUUGGUUUAGUUGUGGGGACAACACUUGGGACACAAUGAGAGAGAAGCUCAGAAUACUCAAAGGCUUUUGAAGAGCUGAAUAUUUUAUUUACUAGCUAGUUACCACUGCAAGUAAGAAUUUUAGUACCCAAGACAAGAUUAGUUUUAUCUUUCUGCUAGGAAAUUUGUAGCAUGUUCCUUUGACUUAAAUUGAUGGACUCUGAAUUUUCUAAUAAGCUUUGCAUCUUUGAAAACCAACUGUCUAUAAACAGCAACAUGUGAAAGCAUACCAAUCCUUCUUAUUUUCCCUGUAGGUAUAGUCGGAAUCCUAUCUCCAAACAACCUUAAAGAAAGUUUUCGAUGCUACUUUUCUAUUCUUGUUAGUUCAGCAUAGCCAACAGUAAAGGCCUUGUUGACAUUAGGCAAAUGUGCAAUGAGGCAGCAAAAUCAAUUUAGUCACACUGAUGCAAAUCCCUCACACAGAUGUAAUGCCUGUGUGCAAAGUAGGGCAUUUCUGAAUAUACCCAAUGUUUAAAAUGAAGUGAAAGAGAGAGAUCCUAUUCCUCCCAACUGAUUCCUUAAUGUGAUUCAUAUAGGUGCCCCGGAAAGCCUGAGUUGAAAGAGAGGGACUUUCUGGUCAAAAAUAAGGGUUCAUUAGGAGUACUGUUGAUCAGGAAGGAAUAUUAUGACCUUUAAAUUGCAAAUUGCAGUAGCUUAAAAGAGCGAAUAAUACUUUAAAAAUACCCUUUACCUUUAAACUGAGAACAUCUGACCUUAAAAUCACUAGGAAAAGAAAUACAUGAUUGCAUAACUCUAUUAUAUGGAGACUUUUCAGAAUAGAAGUGAAAAUUAAUGUGUUUUUGGUCCUGGGCUGUUUUUAGUAAUUUAAUGUGAUCUGCUGUCAACAAGAGGGAAAACAAACCUCUGAUGUUCAACAAGACUAAGAGAACAAAAUGUACCUUACUAUGGGUAUUCAGUUAAAGCUCUAUGGGGAAAAAAUGGCACAGCCUGUGAAGGAAUUAUUGAAAAACAGGUGAGGUCAGCAAGGAAUACCAGUAAGGAGGUAAUGAUCAUCUUCCUUUGCAGUCUGAAGAGGUUUGGGGUUUUUUUUCUUUUUCUUUUAGUUGUUUCAAUAAAAAUGCUUCAGCAAACUGUGAAUUUGAAGCAAAAGUUUUAGUAACUUUGUAAGUGUCUUUUAGGUGUUAUGGAGGAAAAAGUUCCAAAUACUUCAUGUAUCUAAAUUAUUUAACAUAGUAAUAAAUGAAAUAUCAAAAUCCAAAUGAAAUAUAUGUAUUGAAAGCAGAGUUUUUAAUCAAAUCCAGGGUAAGUCACAAUACUUUCCUUUAAAAAGCAUUUUAAAUCUGGGGAAACUCUUUCCCAAUUGGAAUGGAAGCACAUUUUAAAACCUGGGAUCCUUUAUGUUAAAUGAAUCUUUGAUUCUCCUUGCAGCUGGACUCAUGCUAGGGAAGUGAAAAGAUAUGGAGGGCUUCUUUUCCAUGUACAUUCACCUACAACCUGACUGUUAAAGCAACAUUUUCCUUCUCCACCCUCCUUCAAAAAGGAGACUAGGAAGUCCCUUUUCAGGAAUGAAGUCAGGGCACAAUCUCAUUCUGGUAGAUUACAGUCUCCCAGCAGAGCCAGGUGACUUGAGGAAACGCUGUUUUGUUCAUAUAUUGCCAGGAGUUGGCAGUGCUUAAUUUUGUUCUAGCAACAGUGCUAACAAGAACCUGAGUAGGAAACCCUCAUGAGAUAAGGAAUCACAGAAUAUGCUGAGUUGAGAGGGACCCACAAGGAUCAUCGAGACAGGGCAAGGGAAGUGCUUGGGCAGGUAGGGAGCUAAGCAAUCAAUUAUUACUGAAUUUCAAACCCACAGGCAAUACAACUAUACCCCCUGCUUUAUAAUUACUGAGAUUCAUCAACAGGAGCUGUGGCCCCCACUGGGCAAUUCCCAAGUUCCUUGAAAUGAGUCUAAUACCCAAUGAGGUUACUUGUGCUGCUGCAGAAAGAUAUUUCUGGCCUUUUACGUGUCAGAAAAGAAACUCGAUGUGACAGAUUUGGAGCUGGCCUGUGAUAAUUUAGGAAUAUGGUCUGUUGGCCUGAUUAUUUGUUUGAAUAUCUGGGUUUAACUCAUCAGAGAUUAGCUUGCAGUUGCAUUCUUAAAUAAUCAGGGCCGAUCUGUGCUCCUUACCCUGGGAUGCCCCACUUCCAUUGACACUGCACAGCCAGGGAGCACAGGGACUUGGAAGGGGAAGACAUUAAGUUUUGAACCACACCAUCUCUACAUGGGCAGAUCUAGAAUCCUACUCACCCCUAGGAGAGACAGACAGAGGGUUCCAAAGGUGCAUUGGGAAUUAGAGAUGGGACCUGUAAGUGUCUGACAGAACAAGUGGAUAGAGCAUUGUCAGGAGACAUUAAUUGUGAUAUGUUCAUGUAUAUCUAGGCUGUUUCCAUGUGUUUGUGGAAUUUUCAAUGAAAGUGAAAACUAAAAAAAUACCUUUGGAGGAAAAAGGAGUUGUGAAUACCACAAUCAUUUCCAUCAGUUUUUAUCUAAUACUGGAUGUUCAGACCUGGCAUGUUGCCUUUCACCUUAGGCAAACUCCUUUUCCCUCAAAGGGAAUCUAAUGGGAUGCACCCAGGGUUAAUUUACAAAAGCAGUGUGUAUUCUGUGACCAUGAAACCAAUAGGAAAGUUUGCAGAGAUUAUAUUAUUCCAUAGUUUACAGUGGAGGUAUGUUGUAUGGAGAACUGGAAACAUUAUAUGUCAGCUGGCACACUCCAGAGUGCUGGACCCAGCCUUCUCUGUGGUGAGCUUCCAGCUGAAACUGGUCAAGCAAAUCUCUUCUCAAUUGUGAAAGUCUCAGUUGUUAUUUGCCAGGUGCUGGAGAAAUAUUUUACUUGGGUAAAGAGCAUAAAUAAUCGGACAAAAAAAAGGUUUCCAAGAAACCAUCCUCCAAUCUGGAAGAAAAGUUUUAUGUGUGUAUCUGUAUAUAUUAGUACGGAAAACAGAAAGUUGAAAAUCCUAAGAAAUUACCUGAACCGGGUAAUUUUUCUUACCCUCUCCUUACUGAAAGGACAAGUAAGUGUAGUUUGAUGGGUUCUUGAUUGUGGAGUUCAAAAAAGGCAGCCUACAGAUCUAAGCUGUAUUCUAGAUCAAUUCCUAAUUCAGCCUUCAGAGCUUGGGAGGCACUAUGCUCAUUCAUUGCUUUUUCCAGAUGUUUUAGUAUGUAAAGUUCUCCUACUUCACUGUUGCUGGAAAAGUUAAUAUAUUACGUUUGCCUAACCAUGAAUUCCUAAUGCAUUCAUCUUGCUCCCAGUGAAUUUAUUUUAUAUUUUACAGAUUUUGAAAACCAACCACAUAUUAAGGUGUCCGUUUCUCAAAAGGACACAGACCAGUAAAGGCAGUAUAUUCUGUGACACAUCCUCCCAGUGACUGCUUUGUGUUGCUGUAGUAGAGCCUGGCCAGAAAGCUGCCAGAUCUAUGUCUUGGAUGACUACUAUGUCAAAAGCAUUUUUUAAUGACACAGAUGGAGCGCUGAGUCUCCUCCCUACUUCCUUCACUGUUGCCACAUAAAGGUUAAAGUGGGCUGGCACACUGCAAAGCCCCAUGAUUUUAUUUUAGUCUGUAAAAAAAAAAAAAAAACCAAAAAAACCAAAAAAAAAAACAACUUUGGAAAGAGACUGUUUAGUGUCCCAUGGCUGUUUUAAGAGGAGGAAAUGCACAUGCUGAUGUUUAGCGGUAAUCUGGGAAGAUUUGCAAGGCCAAGUGACUACUAGAAAAUCUAGAAAUACAAGAAAGAGACAAAUUGAACCAGGGACAAAAGGAGGAAAUAAGAGCCAGCAAGUAAAUUUUAAGUGCAAGAAACUUCUAGUUAUGAGAUCUCCAUUGAGAAGUUCUUCAGUGCAAGUGGCAGCCAUUUCUUUCUGCAGCUGAAGUUUCUGAAUGAUAACUUUUUGUGGAGUAUAUCGCAGGAAUGUAGAUUACAAAUGGCAAAGAUCUAGACUGCAGCCACAAAGUGUAUAUCUGAACAGAAGGCAAAAUGCUUCUGGAAUUUUCCUUGGACAUUUGGAUGUCCAGAAGAAGCAGAGGAGGUAGCAAAACAAAUUGUAAACAGAAGUAAUGAGUAGCAUAGCAAGGAAAGAGAGAAGCAGCAUCAGCUUCUGGAUGUUUCCUAGCUAGUCAUCUUGAUUUCCAGCUAUCAGCUUGUCACCAUUGUCAUUCUUUCUUCAUUGGUUUGACUCAUUCCAGUGAAACACUGGAGAGCCCAACGAGUCGUCUUCCAUCAGAAACUAGACAAAACUAUCAGCUGUUUUCAGACAAAAGCAAGUACAGCACAUAUUGCGUUGUGGUGAGUUUGUCUGCAUGACCUUUUCCAAAAGCCCCGAGCCAGCCCUGCCAGUAUUCCUUGAUGGUCAGGUGUGGUGUAGCUGUGGCCAAAAGCUGUGCACCCAGGUCAGUAUAAUGAGAUACCACUUCUUUCACUGAUCGUUGUCACACUUUGCCUGAACAAUGUAGUUACAUUUAAAAGCUUUUUUUCCUUGCUCCUUUGUCUACAUUUACUGAAUGCUUCGUUAUCUCAGGGUGUUUUUUUCUGUUCUUCCAUGCCCUUUUUGUUUCUGUUCCAAGUACUCCUAAUAUGAUGCCAUCACUAACAGGAAGGCUCUACAUUCAAAUUCAAAUUAUGCAAGUUCAAACUUUCAUUUUUAAUCAGAUGCUGUUCAGAUGCCAUGCAACUACAGAUUUUACAACAGUUUGAGCAAGCUUUGCAAACAUCCCAAGCAAACAAACUUUGCAGGAAACAUAAUCCUAUUAUUUUACUAAUCUUUGGGACACUGCCUCACGGGGAUCAUCAUUUGCAACAAAGCCUCUACUCAGUUCUUUCACAGGGUGAUCUUUGUACCAUUACAUAGUAUUGCUAUUUUCCUGUGUUGACAUCUGUUAAAGAAAUAGUUCAUACCAGUUACAGGAACUACCCAGUUUGAUGAUCUUAUGACUUGCUAUUACUCUUCACAAAUGUAUUAUUUACUGAGUUUCUGAUCAUGUUUGCUCUCAAUACUAAUCAGUCAUUCUUCAGUUAUUGCCUGUUCCUCAAUAGACACUUUCUAAUGUCGUUUUUGCUAAUUUUCACCUUGCAGAAACUGUACCAUCCUCCUUAAUUUUAAUUCCAGAAUCCAUUUCACCAUUCAUGGCAUGCUCUCAGCCUGCAAGCUUCUGUCACAAUGCAUUGUUAGCACAACAUCAUAGGGUGUUGGAUAACCAAACCGGUGAGGGGGAGGAAAGAGGACUACAGGACUCUCCUACCACUUGGUGACUCUUAGUAAAGGGACGGAGGCAGCUGGACUGGGAGGCAGAAGGUGUACUUCAGGAGAGUGCUUCUGGAGGCAUUUUUUCCUUAUGUGUUGGCAGGUCAAGGCUUGAGAAUAUAUGGCUUGUCCCUUCCACUGAUAUUCUUAAUCAGAGAAUGACAUUUACCUCUUAACAACUCCUCAUUGUAAAGCCAAAUCCGUUCCUCCUCCCCAAAACAACCUGUAGUAUGAUAAAUUAUGCAUGUGAGACAUGCUGAAUCAUGACAAUGCUUCUGUACAGAGUUAUUCCCUGUGCUGAAGAAAUUUGUAUUUUGUCAUGUACGGCUUUAUUACGGUCCUCUUUAUUAUGGGACCGAUGUUAGGGUCUUGAAGAAAUUGUAAGGAAGUGGGAAGUAUAAUAACUGCUCUGGGAAUUUAAGCACAGACAUCUGGAAUAUUCUGAGGAGCUUGGAUCUGGUUUAUGGUUGAUCUAGCAACCAACGUGCUAGAUCUAGCUUUGUGUCUGCAUGCAUACUUCAUAGAAGCUCACAGAACCACAGAACAGUCUGGGUUGGAAAAUAACUAUUUUCUGCUUCCACCCCACUCCACCAUGGGCAGGUCACCUUCCACUACACCAGAUUACUCAAAGUCCUGUCCUGACAGAGAACACAGAGAAGAGAAAUUUUCAGUUCUCCUGAAGUUGCUGGAUAGAGCUUAAAGACCAAUUAACAAAAAAUGAUAAAAGAAUGUAAAAGUGUGCAUGCAAGAUGAUAAAUGUAGCUGGAACCAGUAGAUAAACAGAUAAUGAGGAUUAUAGUGGCUUUUUGGGACAAGUUAUGUAAAAAGAAGAAACAGCACAUGCCCUAAAAGAAGUUCAAGGAAAUGUCAUCUGUAAUACUGGGGGCACUUGGUGAGUACAACAACCAAAGACCCCUUCAGACAACCCUCUAGGGACAUUAAAAGACAUUAAAAGACUCCUGAGUAGGAGGCAGCUGCAUGCAAAUUAGUUCUAUGAAAAGUGAUGGUUAUGUAUCAGCCAGAAGUACACUCUAAUCAAUAUGUAUGAUCAUGAUGGAAUAAAUACCUUGUUUUACCUUCUGGACACACAUCAGAUUAACAGAGCUAUCCUUCUGAUGUGUCCAGCACUGUAAUAAAGAAUGCCUGCUGUCUGAUACU